rnacentral:rRNA from 1 species
AUUGAACGCUGGCGGCAGGCCUAACACAUGCAAGUCGAGCGGAUGACGGGAGCUUGCUCCUUGAUUCAGCGGCGGACGGGUGAGUAAUGCCUAGGAAUCUGCCUGGUAGUGGGGGACAACGUUUCGAAAGGAACGCUAAUACCGCAUACGUCCUACGGGAGAAAGCAGGGGACCUUCGGGCCUUGCGCUAUCAGAUGAGCCUAGGUCGGAUUAGCUAGUUGGUGAGGUAAUGGCUCACCAAGGCGACGAUCCGUAACUGGUCUGAGAGGAUGAUCAGUCACACUGGAACUGAGACACGGUCCAGACUCCUACGAGAGGCAGCAGUGGGGAAUAUUGGACAAUGGGCGAAAGCCUGAUCCAGCCAUGCCGCGUGUGUGAAGAAGGUCUUCGGAUUGUAAAGCACUUUAAGUUGGGAGGAAGGGCAGUAAGUUAAUACCUUGCUGUUUAGACGUUACCGACAGAAUAAGCACCGGCUAACUCUGUGCCAGCCGCCGCAGUAA